rnacentral:lncRNA from 1 species
UAUAGGUGGUUUUAGGUCAAGACUCAAGACGAAGGCGUGGCGAAAGAACGGGAGCCAACCGAGCCAGGAAGCGCCAGGUGGGCCCCAUGGCCGCCCCCCAAGUCAGGGGCCGUCUAGGGGUAAAAGGGAACAAGUACUUGUCACGAAUUGACAGAAAUGAUGUGACGUAGCAGACUUUAAAGUACUUUCUUGCUCAACUUCAUGUUUAAUGAUAUGUUACCCAUAUGAAUAUCUUGCAUAAAACCUGUAGUGUAUGAUUUAUUCUCAUAACUAUGCCACCAUCUUUGAGGGAGAGAUUGAGUGAACCCAUGAACUCAGGUCCAUUAUUUCCACAAGAGUAAACUGCCGGCUUGUCCUCUUGCACUUUAGAGGAUUGGGCCAUUUGUUACUUUCUUUACAUUUACUGCUGCUUAAUUUGCAUUUUACUUCCAUGCAUUAAAUCAUUUUUUCGUUUCUUUAAUUUGUUUAGUGGAUAGAUAACUAGUAUUGUGACACUCUAGUUUGAAACAAUAAAUAGCUUUACCUUUUCUCCUGCAGUUCGAUACCAGGCCAUUACUUCCACAUUGAGAGGUGCUACAACUAGAUCUCCUGCACUUGGGGGUUACUAGGGAGCAACGUGUGAAGGAGCAACACCGGCGGGGAGCCGCAUGCGGAAGAGCAGCACCAGCAGGGGAGCCGCGCGUGGAGGAGCAGCACCGGCGGGGAAGCAGCUUGAUUCGGCGGCCAUAUCCAAAUUCUGAUUUUAUUUUAAGUUCGGGCGGCAGGAAGCAGCAUCGGAGGCCAAAUCCAAUUUUAUUUUUAUUUUAUUUUGGUGACCGUUCAGCGGCGGGUUCUUUAACCACCGAGGCCACUCAGCGACGGUUUUGGAACCGUCACAGAAGGAAUAACAGUGGUGAGAAACUAGUGGCGGUUUAUGAAACCGCCGCUAAAACCGUUUUUGAACCGUCACUGGUCGCAUACCAGUGAAUGUCAGGCAUCCGAUAUACAUACUUAGCUGACAUUGUGCAUUCCUAUUUUUGAUGCAUGGGUUUAAGUGUAACCAGCAAGUCAGCUUGCUUCAAGAAAUUAAACCGGGCCGGCUCAGGCCCGCCUCCCCACGCGUCGGUAAAUCGUCCGGCAGGCGGCGGGAACACCACCACCACGAGCACCUCCCUCAGCGGUCUCUAGGGCACGCCAACAAUAUUAUCUUCACCACCGAUCACCAUUACUUAACACUACUUUCUAUAAACUUUGUUAAGCACGCUACAUGCACUAAUCUAACCUCCGAUCUUCUGUGCAUUAAUUCGCUGGCACACUCUGUAUAGCACACGCGGUCUCCAUCCUGGCCUUUAGUUAAUCUCCGCCUUGCGAGGCUAGACAUUGUAUAGUGCUGCACCGGUCAUCGGCUAGUUUUCUCCUGCACUGCACCUAAUAUAUCCUUUUGUUUUCAAUGUUUGUCGAACCUUUAUAUGCGUUUCCUCGGACUUCUACAUUAACUUGCCAAGAAAAAGAUUUCCCGAAAUAGCAUCGAACAACCUAAAUUUGCUGGCACAUGUUAUGCAUGUAUUACUAAUAAUUACCUUUGUACGAGUGCUAUAUGAAGGCUACUAAUCUCUUACGUACACAUGUACCUAUAUAUAGUCAGUCAGAUUCCAUCAGUUUCAACUUUUCGGAGUAGUAAUACUUCCUCAGCUCCAUUUGAUAAAACAGUUCCUACAAAUUUGUGCACUUCAACCGACGAGAUGAGUUCUCAUUUCUAGCGUAUGGCAAACAAAUUGAUUUAGGAGUAAAUGAGUGUGGUCAGUUAUUGGGUGUGAGCGGAAUUUUUUUUGACCGAAUUAACGAGAAAUGAGCUAUAUAAUGGAAAAAAAAUAAAAAAAAAUGUAUGAACUGUUUUUGAAAUGGAGAGAGUAAUUAAUCAAAUUGUAAAACUAAUCGCACGC